AGCUUGCUGCUUCGCUGACGAGUGGCGGACGGGUGAGUAAUGUCUGGGGAUCUGCCUGAUGGAGGGGGAUAACUACUGGAAACGGUAGCUAAUACCGCAUAACGUCGCAAGACCAAAGAGGGGGACCUUCGGGCCUCUUGCCAUCAGAUGAACCCAGAUGGGAUUAGCUAGUAGGUGGGGUAACGGCUCACCUAGGCGACGAUCCCUAGCUGGUCUGAGAGGAUGACCAGCCACACUGGAACUGAGACACGGUCCAGACUCCUACGGGAGGCAGCAGUGGGGAAUAUUGCACAAUGGGCGCAAGCCUGAUGCAGCCAUGCCGCGUGUAUGAAGAAGGCCUUCGGGUUGUAAAGUACUUUCAGCGAGGAGGAAGGUGGUGAGUUUAAUACGCUCAUCAAUUGACGUUACUCGCAGAAGAAGCACCGGCUAACUCCGUGCCAGCAGCCGCGGUAAUACGGAGGGUGCAAGCGUUAAUCGGAAUUACUGGGCGUAAAGCGCACGCAGGCGGUCUGUCAAGUCGGAUGUGAAAUCCCCGGGCUCAACCUGGGAACUGCAUCCGAAACUGGCAGGCUUGAGUCUCGUAGAGGGGGGUAGAAUUCCAGGUGUAGCGGUGAAAUGCGUAGAGAUCUGGAGGAAUACCGGUGGCGAAGGCGGCCCCCUGGACGAAGACUGACGCUCAGGUGCGAAAGCGUGGGGAGCAAACAGGAUUAGAUACCCUGGUAGUCCACGCCGUAAACGAUGUCGACUNGGAGGUUGUUCCCUUGAGGAGUGGCUUCCGGAGCUAACGCGUUAAGUCGACCGCCUGGGGAGUACGGCCGCAAGGUUAAAACUCAAAUGAAUUGACGGGGGCCCGCACAAGCGGUGGAGCAUGUGGUUUAAUUCGAUGCAACGCGAAGAACCUUACCUGGCCUUGACAUCCAGAGAAUUUGGCAGAGAUGCUUUAGUGCCUUCGGGAACUGUGAGACAGGUGCUGCAUGGCUGUCGUCAGCUCGUGUUGUGAAAUGUUGGGUUAAGUCCCGCAACGAGCGCAACCCUUAUCCUUUGUUGCCAGCGAUUCGGUCGGGAACUCAAAGGAGACUGCCGGUGAUAAACCGGAGGAAGGUGGGGAUGACGUCCAGUUCUUCAUGGCCCUUACGGCCAGGGCUACACACGUGCUACAAUGGCGUAUACAAAGAGAAGCGACCUCGCGAGAGCAAGCGGACCUCAUAAAGUACGUCGUAGUCCGGAUUGGAGUCUGCAACUCGACUCCAUGAAGUCGGAAUCGCUAGUAAUCGUGGAUCAGAAUGCCACGGUGAAUACGUUCCCGGGCCUUGUACACACCGCCCGUCACACCAUGGGAGU
rnacentral:rRNA from 1 species